rnacentral:rRNA from 1 species
AUACGGAGGGGGCUAGCGUUGUUCGGAAUUACUGGGCGUAAAGCGCGUGUAGGCGGAUCGUUAAGUCAGGGGUGAAAGCCCGGGGCUCAACCCCGGAACUGCCCUUGAUACUGGCGAUCUAGAGUCCGGAAGAGGUGGGCGGAAUUCCCGGUGUAGAGGUGAAAUUCGUAGAUAUCCGGAGGAACACCAGUGGCGAAGGCGGCUCACUGGUCCGGCACUGACGCUGAGACGCGAAAGCGUGGGGAGCAAACAGGAUUAGAAACCCUAGUAGUCC